rnacentral:rRNA from 1 species
AGGACGAACGCUGGCGGCGUGCUUAACACAUGCAAGUCGAGCGAGAGCCAGCUGAGGGGUAACCCUCGGCUGGGGACAGCGGCGAACGGGUGCGUAACACGUGGGCAACCUGCCCCUGACACUGGGAUAACCCCGGGAAACCGGAGCUAAUACCGGAUACUCUCGGCCGAUCACAUGGCUGGCCGAGGAAAGGUCCGCCGGUCAGGGAUGGGCCCGCGGCCUAUCAGCUUGUUGGUGGGUAACGGCCUACCAAGGCGACGACGGGUAGCUGGUCUGAGAGGACGACCAGCCACACUGGAACUGAGAUACGGUCCAGACUCCUACGGGAGGCAGCAGUGGGGAAUAUUGCACAAUGGGCGAAAGCCUGAUGCAGCGACGCCGCGUGAGGGAUGAAGGCCUUCGGGUCGUAAACCUCUUUCGGCAGGGACGAAGCGAUCAGUGACGGUACCUGCAGAAGAACGCCCGGCUAACUACGUGCCAGCAGCCGC